ACAAAGGGCACCAGUCCAUCUCACCGCCUUGACUUGCUGACUGAUGCUUGUCUGCACCGCACAGAGGAAAUCAACUGACCGAGGAGUGUUUCUGAGUGAGGGAGAGAGGAGGUCCAGGUAAAGUGACGUGGAUCAGUGGAUACACUUGUCUCCCCUUUAAAGGAGAUACUCUUAGAGAGAGACGAUCCGAGUCAUCCUUAAAUUAUAUCAGUCUUGGACUGUCUAACCUGCAGGAGCAGCAUUGAAUGAUCACCACACAUGAGCAUGAGUCGUUUUUCUCUUUUGUAAUUGAUGAUAAUUCAGUGAAUAUACUGCGCUGCUUCCUCUUAUUGUGCCACACAUUGCUUUAGGUUUUUCAGUGUCCAGUUAUUACUGUUUUACUGCUGUUUGAAUUCUCUGUAUGUUUGACCCUGUAGACUGUUUAAUGGACUGCUUGUCUUCCUGUUUGUAACCGCUGCCUGUUUUUGACUAAAGAUUUGGAUUUCUGACUUUAACACAGCCUCUGCGUGUCCUCCCUUUGUGUCCUCUUCCUCUGUGAAUGUGUUGCAUGUGUCACAGAUUCAUUUUAUUAACAGCUUUCCCACAGUGAGUUGCAUCAGCAUUCAUUCACAGCACAUUUCAGAAGGAUUCAGAUUAAU